GAACUUCGUUUCCGUGUAUCUGAUUUUCCGCCCUUCAGAAACACGCUAGUUUUUGCCCUUAUUCCUGUUAUAUACUUGUUUUCGUGUAGAUUUCACCGAGUGCAUCGAAAAACGGUGUAAUCGCAUUAUAAACAAAUCAUUACACCGCUUCAUUGCUGGAAGCGUGUUUAUCAACAUCAACAUAAAUUCAAAAUUUUAAACUAAAAAAAUUAUUGAAUAAUUGUUAUUUCGUAAAAAUAAUGGAAGUUUCAAUAGCAUGUUGAGUUUUUCAUGAAACGAGUGUUUUGUCUACAUGGCGAGUCUUUUGGAAACGAAUUCAAAAGCGAGUUAUUCUUUGUGCUGCUCUGGAUGCCGCAAAUUUUGGCCAUCUUUGGGUAAGUAGGUAGAUACCGAGAGCUUAAUCUCCGACCUUCAUCCGAGAAAAUGGACCUUCGGAACUUCAAAGAUGCCACACAUCAGUAGCUGGGUUUUGAGCAACUCAAAACUUUUAUUUCUAGGGUUUUUAAGCUUUAGCUUGAGUCGUCAAUCUUUAAGAUUACUGAUUAGACAUAACACGUAACUAGAACUAGAAUCGGUAACAGGCAGUCACAGCUACUACACAAUAAAGAACUUGCUUAAAGAA